GCGCGGAUCUUCCAGAGAUUAGAGUUUGAUCCUGGCUCAGGAUGAACGCUGGCGGCGUGCCUAAUACAUGCAAGUCGAGCGAAUGGAUUAAGAGCUUGCUCUUAUGAAGUUAGCGGCGGACGGGUGAGUAACAUGUGGGUAACCUGCCCAUAAGACUGGGAUAACUCCGGGAAACCGGGGCUAAUACCGGAUAACAUUUUGAACCGCAUGGUUCGAAAUUGAAAGGCGGCUUCGGCUGUCACUUAUGGAUGGACCCGCGUCGCAUUAGCUAGUUGGUGAGGUAACGGCUCACCAAGGCAACGAUGCGUAGCCGACCUGAGAGGGUGAUCGGCCACACUGGGACUGAGACACGGCCCAGACUCCUACGGGAGGCAGCAGUAGGGAAUCUUCCGCAAUGGACGAAAGUCUGACGGAGCAACGCCGCGUGAGUGAUGAAGGCUUUCGGGUCGUAAAACUCUGUUGUUAGGGAAGAACAAGUGCUAGUUGAAUAAGCUGGCACCUUGACGGUACCUAACCAGAAAGCCACGGCUAACUACGUGCCAGCAGCCGCGGUAAUACGUAGGUGGCAAGCGUUAUCCGGAAUUAUUGGGCGUAAAGCGCGCGCAGGUGG
rnacentral:rRNA from 1 species